rnacentral:lncRNA from 1 species
AGUGUCUCUAUCCCAACCACUUAACUCAGGAUCUCUGGGAAUGGGGCCCCGGCAUCUGCAUUAUGGAAAGCACCGCAGGAGAUUGCGGUGUACAACCAGGUACUCUGUGCAGAGAGCAGAUUCUGGGACAGGGGCCACAGCUGGGCCACCUUCCCCAUGCUCAGGAAUAAUAAUAAUUAUGAGUUACGACGAGGUGGCAGGCUAGUGUGGCAGGCAGGCAGGCAGGCAGGAAGAAGCUAUUUAGAAAUAACACGGUUGCACUUCUGCAUUCUAGGGUAGAGGCUGCCUGCACCUCACAGGUGGGCAGUGACUUGAGUGGCUCCUGGUGGUUGAGACAGGCAGCAUUUGCCAGCUUCAUGCCCUCUCCUGUUCCCAACCAGGCCCCGGGCUGCAGGGAAUCACGGUCACGGGGCUCCCGGGUUGGCCCGGCCCAGGGGGAGCUGGGAUCACACACGGCAAGGGGGGCAAGGGGCAGUGAUCACCUCCAUUGCCCUCCGGUGGGUUUCUUUCCCACCUGGUUCCUCCUCGGCCUUCCUAAUUACUGUUCCGCCCUAAUCCCUGGGCUUCUCUUUGAUGACGAUUCCCAUUCCCACCCGUGGACUGUUUCCAGAGGGAAAGAGAAAAAGGCAAGAACAAGCUGCUGGAACUAAGCUUUCUCUCAUCUCUUCAAGGAAGAUAUGACACCAACUUUGUUUUAGCAGAGACAAAACCCAAAUAAAUCAUCCACAGAGGGACCA